UCUCCGUAGGUGAACCUGCGGAGGGAUCAUUACUGAGUGAGGGCUUCGGUCCGACCUCCAACCCUUUGUGUGAACCAAACUUGUUGCUUCGGGGGCGACCCUGCCAUCGUGCGAGGCGCCCCCGGAGGCCUUCAAACACUGCAUCUUUGCGUCGGAGUUUAAGUAAAUUAAACAAAACUUUCAACAACGGAUCUCUUGGUUCUGGCAUCGAUGAAGAACGCAGC
rnacentral:misc_RNA from 1 species